rnacentral:rRNA from 1 species
UACGAAGGGUGCAAACGUUGCUCGAAAUCAUUGGGCGUAAAGCGCACGUAGGCGGCGCUGCAAGUCGGACGUGAAAUCCCUCGGCUCAACCGAGGACGUGCAUCCGAAACUGCAGUGCUCGAGUAUGGAAGAGGGUCGCGGAAUUCUCGGUGUAGAGGUGAAAUUCGUAGAUAUCGGGAGGAACACCAGUGGCGAAGGCGGCGACCUGGGCCAAUACUGACGCUGAGGUGCGAAAGCGUGGGGAGCAAACAGG